rnacentral:lncRNA from 1 species
AUGGGGCCAUUGCUUCCACCCCAGCUCUCCGCGCACCCGCUCAGCGCCUGGCCAGGUAAUGUAUGUCUGAGAUCUCUGAAGACAAGCACAACAUGUUCCGGGACUGCAGGCGGGCGGGAGGAGGGUGCCGGGAGGAGUGACCGGGAGUUCCUGAUUUACUGCAGAAAGAGAAAGCUCAAGCAACCAGCAGCCUGUAAGCCAGCCAAGACGUGGGCCAGGGGUAAUUCAUGUUCGCUCGCUCAGCACUCACCCACCUCCCUGUCAGGAUUUCAUGUGGAAGACAGCUGCGUGGGAGGAGCAUUUGGUCCCUGCUCGGCAAGGCUGGCAGAACUGCACUCUCUUGGGGAGGAAUGUCCCACCCCCACGUAACACCUUGCAGGAGAUUGAGGUCCACUGCAGGGGUCCCCGGUAGGAAGCCAUGCUAAGACUCCCACCUUUGCAAGUAGACAAGUACCUCGUGGGUCAGGAAAAAGUGGCGGAAGUUGGGGAAGAAGUAAAACCAGAGAAAGCCUUCCUUAGACGACACCGGGCAGCACGGCUGGUUAGGAGCUCGUGCUGUGCAGCCAGCACGCACGGAGCUCACAUCUCAGCGCCGUUACUUUUAACAUCCAAACACAUCACUCAGCCUCCCUAACCUCCAAGGGGGGAAGCUGAUAAGACUUUCCGCACACGUUUGCUGUGAAAAAUAUACGACGGAAUGCAUAAAAAGCACUCAGCACGAAGCCUUAAGAAAGGGUAGCUGAGAAACCCCAGCUGGUAUGUUGCGGGAGUGAACUGGUGAAGGGAGAACUCAGAAUCAGACGACUUGAGUCUGCAGUUCCCAUUUGUAAAAUGAAGGACUUACAACAGCGAUUCCUUCCAGCUAAACAUUCGAGAAGUCUGUGACUGAGGUAUAAGGAGUUAAAAAUGUCAUGUGGGCAUCAGAACUGUACUAUACAGUGACACCCAGCAGCAAAUUCAGCACCAUCAGAGGAAGUCACACACACACAACACGAUUUAAGUGACGAGUGUCUGUUUGGGCGUGGGAGUGGCAGGGGGUGUUCCCACCAGGGAAGGAGACAGUUAAGCACAAAUAUCAUUGCUUAUAUUGCUAUUCUUUGGUCUAUUGGACCAGCCUCCAGGAACAUUUCAGGCCAUCUAGAUAUUGGGCAAAAAAUUAAGAUCUUAUUAAAAAAUUUUUUUUGCCUAAAAUCGAGAGUGAGAGAUUUCUCCUUCCCUAUCUUCACCUUUGUCCUCUGAAGCCAAAACCAAUAGUGCCUUUAAACUGUGUAGAACAGCUUCUUGUCCAUUAUCGUUUUCCCUGGAUGAGAUAAAGGUUUUCUGCAAGAGUAUGAAGCCACACUGUAAAAAAGCACAUUUAAACAGAGAGCAAGGCUUGGUGUUUAGGUAACACCCCACCUCCCUCUGCCUAGCUGAGGUAAGCUUUAGCUUCCUGCUUGGUUUCCCAGAAUUCUGGUGGACUAUGAAAAUACAUGCCUCAAAUGAGGAUCCAGGAAACAGAAACCAAUGCAAUGGAACAAAACCAGUGUCAUCAGGGCUCAAAAGAUUGCCAGAACAUCUAGGUGGCAUGGCAAAUGUACAAGAGCUUGGUCAAACCCUCUAAGCUACCUGGAAUGCCCUCCCUCCUAGCCCAAAUCCUGUUACCCUGGAAGGGAGAUUUCAAACCCCUUCCAGGGAGAUUAAAAGGCCCCCGUAGAACACAGCACCCAUUGGAGAUACUCACAACACUCAAGGGAACUGGGUGAAUAUUCAGAACAUUCUGCUACUGCUCCUUUCUCAGCCUCAACACACAUUUUCAUGAAAGGACUAUCAGGGAAUUUUACGGCACCUCUUAUAUAACCUUGCACUUGGCUUAUGCUGAAUAAAUAACUGCGGCCUAAAUAGAUAAGUAAACCCUUCUUGUAGACACACAGUUUUUUUCUCAGAUGAUUCUACCAUUUGUAUAAUAGAGAUUAACUAUAUCCAGUCAUGUACAUUAAUUUCACCUUGGGCAGAUAAGAGACUGUACGGCAUGUAUCCAAGUAAACAUCUUUACUUAGAAAGUUUUCUCAGCAAAUGGCAGGUCUUUAAUAAGGACACUAAGGCUGGGCAUGGUGGCCCACACCUGGAAUCCCGGCAUUCAGGAGGGUGAGGCAGGAGGAUCGCUGUGAGUUUGAGGCUAGCCAGGACUGCAAAGCAAGACCUUGUCUCAAAAAGACUAACUAAAUAAAUAAAAUAAAUGCUAAGGCCAAAUUUCUUCACUAAAUAGAGCUUGAGAAUAGAAAGUCUUUAUAUCCAUUCUUAAUCCUAUUUCCCAGGGGAAAAGGCAGGCCCUGAAAGGUUAAGUGGUUUGCCCAAGAUCACCCAGCUAACAAGCAGCAAAGUCAGGCUUGGAAUCCAGGUCUAAUUCCUUUUCCCCACCGUAGAGCAACCCUACAAGGCUCUCUAAUGUCACCUAGGCAGACAGGAGGACUGACGGGCAGGUAGCAGUGUCAGAGGCUAAAGCCUCUCCGGACGUAACUGAUUCCUUAAAUCAGCAAUAUUUUUUAUAAGAAAAAUAUAUCCUGAGAACCAAAACUAUAUAGCUAAGAUUCCAGCACACUGUCCCGAAUGCAAUGCCAGGCUGUAAUAACUGGAGAUUCCUGACUUGUUAAACUGCUCAAAAACAGGAACUAAAAGAAGGGUCUCCUAAAAGAACAGGCCAUGUCAUCAUAGCAUGAAGAAAUUAAAAGACCAUGUGUUGGAAUGUUAAACCCCAAACCAGUGAGCUGUCCUGAGUAGCAGAAAAUCCACAGUGGGCAGAAGUGAACGCUGAAUCAUGACCAUACACAGGGCAAACUGGUUAGGAGAAGGAAUAGUACCUUCCCCACAAACAGCUACAAGCAGGACUUACUUAGCAGAGCGCCUUGAAGCCCAGAAGCACAGCUGCACUGGAAAUUAACACUUAAACCUCAGGCCCUGGAAGACUCCUGAGGCUCAUUACAGGCCCCCCUCUAAUUACUACCUUGGAAACACAUGCAAACUGGAGUCUGGCACUCACAGGGGCCUCUCUCUCCCUAUUGCAUUUUUCAACAGGGAGGGUUCACAGCAUUUUCCACCAAGAAUCUCUAGGGGCAGAAUAACCACACGUGUAAACCAUGUGGACUAAGAGCUCCAAGAGGCAGACGUUGCCUCUCAUACUGUGUCUCCCACCAUCAGGAAAUGGAGAAUACAUGCUUUCGCCUUAUCUUCUAACCACAGUGCAUGCCUCAGUUUCCAUGAAGACAGCCAUGAGGUGUUCUGUUACACGGACAUGGUGGCAUUAAGGACUCCAAACGGAAGUAAGAUAAAUCCGCCCCUGCCCCGAGUCAUACCUGGCUCAGUCUGGUCAGUACACCAGACUCGGAGAGUCUGACCACAAGAUGGUGCCAGGAAGUGGAUGGGAUGGUGGGCCAUCUGCUUUCCUCCUUCUCAUUUCCCAUGGGAGCUCCUCCAAGACCCAAGUUCGGCAUUCUCUUCCGCCUAGGCUUAAGUGUAGAUGGUGGUGUGCGAAGCGUGCUCCCGGGACCCUUGCAGUGGAUGGCAGGAGGUGGAGUCCCUGAGACUUUUCAAGUUAAUUUGCAAGAUCAAAAGUAUUCUCAUCAUAAUAACACAUUUUUCGUCUCUUUUACUCUUAAAAGCAUAAAUAGGAGAUAUCGCAAUGGCCUACAAGCAAAGCCAAUGUAAGAAUCCAGCUGACUUUUCUGAAGCCAGACAUUACAGAUAUUUGCAAAAAAAUACAAAACCAUGCCAUGCAUCUAAGACUUUUGUUUUGGAAAAUGUAGUUAUAUUUUAUGAAAAUGUACUCUUCGUGUUAAAAUGCAAUGAGCUAAUUUUUAAAUUAAUUUUAAAAUGUAUCUGUUUCAUUUUAAUGUGGCAAAUGGAGAUAGCCCACAUAAACAGAGCCUCUCUGCAGUCUUCAAUAAUUCAAAAAAUAUUUUAAAAAUUUAAAUGUUAGUCUUGAGACCCAAAAGCUUGAGAACCACUAGUUUACAAGAAAAAAAUGACGCUCACAUUCCCC